GGAAGGGGUACGACCCAGCGAACUGGACAGUCCCCACCCUCCCCUCGACCUCGAGAGACCCGGGGCCAGCGUCGGACCGUCGACUGCGUUCCACGACCAUCAACGACGACUCCCACAACUCGAAGAACCGAAUCCGUCGAUUGGGCCCUAGGAAGUACGUCUGCACCGACUGCGGCUCGACGUUCGCCCUGAAGGCGUCACUAGCGCGUCACCACUCGGUGGAGUGCACUCGCGAUCUGAAGACGUCCAGGGGCCCGAAGGCCCAGGUGAAGAUCAACACAGUGAACAUCCUGAAGUCGGUCAAGGUCAUGAAGCCUCAGCCGCCAGUGCGAUUUAUCCUCCCAAAGCCGUCCCAGCUGAUCUCCAGAGACAUCAGGGGGGAUUCGGGGACUUCGUCGGGCCCUGGGCCUGAUCCGGCUGGCAAGAAGAAGAAGAGAAACUACACCUGCAAGAGGUGCGGCAAAAUCUACGCAUUCUACACCUCCCUGUGGCGCCAUCUUCAUUACGAGUGCGGAAUGGAACCUCAAUUUAUCUGCGGAAUAUGUCAUUUACGGUUCGCUCAGAAGAGCAAUCUUGAACGUCAUCUCCGGAAUAUGCACCCAACAGCUAACCUCACGUUACCUUGAGUGAAUAAUCGGUUUAAAAGUUGGGUCGAGGUCGAAGGUCUACAAGAGACGGUCCAGACCCUUGAACGAAAGCCUGGAUGAGCGCAAUCUCAAGUGCCCACACUGCGGAAGGGUCUACAAGGCCAAGAAGAACCUCAUGACACACAUGAAACUUGAGUGCGGGGGACAGAGGCAUUUUGCCUGCGUCGUUUGCCCCUCGAAAUUCACCCAAAAUAUCGGCCUUAGACGACAUCUUAUGCAGCAACACAAUAUUUAUCUGCCGCCAAAGUUUACGGUGCCGAAGAGAAUAUUCGCGAAGGAGAGAAUACAUUAGAUUUGUUUAGUUGUGGAGAAUAUUUAUAGGAUUUUUAAUUUAUGGUAUGAAGUGCGGGUGUCUUGUGGAGAUUUAGGUUGAAUUUUUGUUGCCCGCGGUGACGAUAAUUCGCGCGGCGAGUUUUGAUGAUUAUGACAGACUGAUGAUGUAUAUGAGGUUGUAAUAAAUCCCUUGAAGGUUUGUAAUGAAAUGGA